GGAGAGCAGGAAUGGCAGGAGAGCGGUGAGAGACCUCCGUCCCAGUGAGGAUGACAUGUUCUAACUCAGGAAAUGAAUAGAUGCUCUUGCGAUUGAAGAAAAAUCUACGCUGGAGGCAGACAGGCUGGCAGAUAAGGAGACUGAAGCAUCUAGAGUUGGAGUAAUUUCCACAAGAUCACAGGAACAUGGAUGGAGCUGGAGGCCAUUAUCCUUAGCAAACUGACAUAGGAACAGAAAACCAAAUACUGCAUGUUCUCACUUAUAAGUGGGAGCCAAAUGAGGCAAGAUUUCACUCUGUCACCCAGACUGGAGUGCAGUGGCACAAACAUAGCUCACUGAAGCCUCAAACUCCUGGGCUCAAGAGAUCCUUCUGCUUCAGCCUCCUGAGUAGCUGGGACUUCAGAAUCCCAGUCCUCUCUCUCUCACUGACCCCGAAGAUAAGCAUUGGAAAGGGGAGCUUUGGGGAAAUGAAUCUGCCCUGUCAUCUGCGUAUAGAGCUAAUCUUAAAUCCCAACUGCCAAAUGGAUCCUGAGGUGUCAGAAACUCUCCCGAGAUAAGGGGGCUUCUAGCAACCAUCUGCAUUCUGGACCCAGAUGAGAAAACCAGGGGAAGCAGAGGUAAGAACCUGUUCAAGAAGGCACAUCUCAGAUGUGGAAGAACCAUGAUUCAACUCGAGUCUGUCUGCUUCCCAAGACUGUGGUAUUUAAACAGCUUAUAAUGAAAAUUCCUUCUAUAGCUCCCCAUAAAAGGGCACACAGUUCUUUCUUAAC
ensembl:lncRNA LINC00970 long intergenic non-protein coding RNA 970